rnacentral:lncRNA from 1 species
GAAAAAUAAUGAGGGGUGUCACGGGGUAUGACUAUAUAGGUCUUGUAGAGGAGAAACAGGCGCUUCUUUUGCGCUAGGUAUCGAAGGGCGCUAUGUUCAAAAAUCUGAAACUAGAGCUCAAAAUUUGAAAAAAAAUGUCAAAAAAUUAGGGGGGUCGGCCUAUUCCAGGGCUUCUAGAGAAAAAUAAUGAGGGGUGUCACGGGGAAUGACUAUAUAGGUCUUGUAGAGGAGAAA